CCGUCCAUGGGAUUUUCCAGGCAAGAGUACUGGAGUGGGGUGCCAUUGCCUUCUCCGACACACUGUCAUAAUUAAGUCCAAUUUGAAUCUUAGCCUUAAUUUUAGGGUGUAGUUUCCCUCCAGCAGUGCAGGAGCAUUCCCUUUUCUCCAGGCCCUGUUUCCCUGGUAUGACAUAUCAAACCUCAAAGACUGUUACCUAUUGAUACGAGUGUCAACUUCAUUUAGCUCAGUUUGAUCAAAGAAGCAAAAAAUCUGGGGGAGGGUGGCAAUUUUUUCUGUUUUCUUCAUGAGGAGAAAUGAAACUGUUAGAAGAAAAAGGACCUGUGGCUCGUGUGCUCUUUGAGUCACUCAUUGUUUGCAGGAAUUUGCUUUUAUUUUCUUUCAAGUGUGACCUUUCAUUCAAUGGUAACAAAUAACAGAAUUAGAAGAAACUAGUUUGAAAUGAUGGCUGGUUUCUACCUAGAAAAUCUGAACCAAAGGAACUAAUGGGACCGCAAAAAUCAGGGUGCCAAGCUUUUAAGAAUAUGUUAGAUUGCAAAUAAUAACUAGUAUGGUUGAAAUUUCAACAACACAUUUUUAUUCUGAUAAAGAAUAUACUUUUCCAAAAGGUUUGCAGUAUGGCCGCCUCCUGUUGGAAGCCUGGGAUGCUGGAAUCAUGCCACACCCUGUGUGUCUGUACACGACACUGGGCUGCAUACUAUAAAAAAUUCCUGCCUCUCCCAUGGAUCCUGAAGGUAGGAGAAAAGCAAAUUAGCCAAGAUGGCGAUGUCAGGCUCUCUCGCUCCGGCCCCAUGUUUUGUAAAUACACGGUUACGUAUCCGCUGAGCGCACUUACAGUACAGCGCAUGCGCUUCACGAGGUACCCGCUUGGCCGCAGACCACUUUUGCUCUGUAAACAUCAGUAAGAUCCACCAGAAAAGCCCUUGCGGCUACGUUAUGGCUGCGUCCGCUGGAUCACCACGAGACCAGAGAAUACAGCGAGUCUGCUGUUACAGCCGAUGCACCAGUCAGGAGAGAUUAAACGAGUCUGCAGUUCUUCCGGCUCCCCAAGUUUUCUUGCAGCUUCCCUGCUCGCGCCUUGCCUACCUUGGGUUCAACGAACAGUGAGAUACAGUGAGACACUGACCAUCACGUGGCCAAAGCAACUGGUAACACUUUGUUUUGCCUGUCGGAAUGUUCAAUGACACAGAUUCUUUCAGUUUCACCCUGCCCUGAUGUGGGUGAAGGGUGAGCUCGCAGAUUAUUUCCUCUUCAAGAAAUGUACAUCUUAGUUCCCACGCGAGGGGGAGCUCCCCGUCCAAAGAUGAGAGACCCUGCAUGUGUGUGACCUGCGCCUCUGGGGAGAGCAGCUUUAAGCUAGUUUAAACCUGACCAAAGUCUGUCUACAUGGUAGAUUUAGACCUCUCCAAGUCCUGUCUACACUGACGAUGUUUACACGUGACCGUGUAUUUUCUAUAAUGAGCUCAUUUAGACCUGACGCUGUUCUGUGCGCUAGGACAUGGAGACCAGGGUAGAGACCUGGCCUGCCUCUGUCCUGGAAAACUCCGCGCCCGCCUCUGAAUGUCCGCGCUCAGAUGUCUGGGGUCUGGAGCUGAGGUGGCUUCUCUGGGCAGCGUGCUCUUCUCUGAGGGGGCUCCGUGGCCCUCCCAGGGUCAGGGAUGCGGUGGGCUCUGAGUCUCUCCCCCUGCCAGGUUCCCCCUCCCUGGGGCAUGGAGGCUCCUCAGGUGGGCUACCUGGCAAUCAUUCCAAUUUUCCAGCACAUUCAGGUUGAGUAGGGACGCAGGUUCACCUGGUGAACUGAUUCCAGGGAUGGGGCAAGAAGUCAGCGGGCAGCAGGUGAGGUUGCCGCUGUGAUCUCCUUCCGGUCGACUCUACUCAGAAGAGAACAGGGCUGCGCCCCAUCCUUCAGCCCAGCUCUCCUGUUUUCUCAUCACCUCAGCAGGACAGGAAAGACAGAGCCUGCCAGAACCAAGGUCGACCGUCCUACUCAGCAGAGACCAGACCUGCCCCUCGUCUUCCAGCCCUGCGUCUGGUGUGUUUUCUCAGCUCCUCAGCGGGACAAGAAAGGACCAAGCUUGCCAGAACCAAGAUUCCGCAGUGGCAACCCACUCCCGCACUCUUGCCUGGAAAAUCCCAUGGACGGAGGA